CGCCGGCCGGCUCAGUCCACCGCCCCGCUCCCGACCUCGCGCCCCACCCCUUGGAUGAGAAAACUGAAACUGAGAGGGGACGUGACUGAUCCAAGGCCCAACCCAGAGCUGGAUCACAAGGAAGACUGGAAGCUCCACCCCGCCAUGGAGCUUCCCUGUUACCAGAGGACACAAACACACAUCUGCAUGUUGAUCUGCUUUCAUCUCAACUGAAAAACAUGGGUCUCACCAACACCGAAUUUGAAAGACAGCUGAACCAGGCCUCAGUGGUCUUGAAGCGACAAGAAGGAUGCCAUCGUAGCCU
rnacentral:lncRNA from 1 species